rnacentral:rRNA from 1 species
UUGGUCAUUUAGAGGAAGUAAAAGUCGUAACAAGGUUUCCGUAGGUGAACCUGCGGAAGGAUCAUUAAAGAGUAAGGGUGCUCAGCGCCCGACCUCCAACCCUUUGUUGUUAAAACUACCUUGUUGCUUUGGCGGGACCGCUCGGUCUCGAGCCGCUGGGGAUUCGUCCCAGGCGAGCGCCCGCCAGAGUUAAACCAAACUCUUGUUAUUUAACCGGUCGUCUGAGUUAAAAUUUUGAAUAAAUCAAAACUUUCAACAACGGAUCUCUUGGUUCUCGCAUCGAUGAAGAACGCAGCGAAAUGCGAUAAGUAAUGUGAAUUGCAGAAUUCAGUGAAUCAUCGAAUCUUUGAACGCACAUUGCGCCCCUUGGUAUUCCGAGGGGCAUGCCUGUUCGAGCGUCAUUACACCACUCAAGCUAUGCUUGGUAUUGGGCGUCGUCCUUAGUUGGGCGCGCCUUAAAGACCUCGGCGAGGCCACUCCGGCUUUAGGCGUAGUAGAAUUUAUUCGAACGUCUGUCAAAGGAGAGGAACUCUGCCGACUGAAACCUUUAUUUUUCUAGGUUGACCUCGGAUCAGGUAGGGAUACCCGCUGAACUUAAGCAUAUCAAUAAG